CGUGUAGGCGGGUUGGUAAGUCAGAUGUGAAAGCCCUGGGCUCAACCCAGGAAGUGCAUUUGAAACUGCCAUCCUAGAGUAUGGGAGGGGAGAGUGGAAUUCCCAGUGUAGAGGUGAAAUUCGUAGAUAUUGGGAGGAACACCCGUAGCGAAGGCGACUCUCUGGACCAAUACUGACGCUGAGACGCGAAAGCGUGGGUAGCAAACAGGAUUAGAUACCCUGGUAGUCC
rnacentral:rRNA from 1 species